rnacentral:rRNA from 1 species
CAGUCGCCGCGGUAAUACGUAGGUGGCAAGCGUUGUCCGGAAUUAUUGGGCGUAAAGCGCGCGCAGGCGGUUUCUUAAGUCUGAUGUGAAAGCCCCCGGCUUAACCGGGGAGGGUCGUUGGAAACUGGGAGACUUAGAGUGCAGAAGAGGAGAGUGGAAUUCCAUGUGUAGCGGUGAAAUGCGUAGAUAUAUGGAGGAACACCAGUGGCGAAGGCGACUCUCUGGUCUGUAACUGACGCUGAGGCGCGAAAGCGCGGGGAGCAAACAGGAUUAGAUACCCCUGUAGUCCCUGUCUCUUAUA